GAUGAACGCUAGCUACAGGCUUAACACAUGCAAGUCGAGGGGUAACAAGAGAAAAGCUUGCUUUUCUUGUUGACGACCGGCGCACGGGUGAGUAACGCGUAUCCAACCUGUCUAUAACUAGGGAAUAACCUUGCGAAAGUAAGACUAAUACCCUAUGAUUUCCUUUGAUGACAUCAGAUUAGGAAUAAAGAUUUAUCGGUUAUAGAGGGGGAUGCGUCUGAUUAGCUUGUUGGCGGGGUAACGGCCCACCAAGGGAACGAUCAGUAGGGGUUCUGAGAGGAAGGUCCCCCACAUUGGAACUGAGACACGGUCCAAACUCCUACGGGAGGCAGUAGUGAGGAAUAUUGGUCAAUGGGCGGAAGCCUGAACCAGCCAAGUAGCGUGCAGGAUGACGGCCCUAUGGGUUGUAAACUGCUUUUAUACAGGAAUAAAGUUAGCCACGUGUGGUUAUUUGUAGGUACUGUAUGAAUAAGGACCGGCUAAUUCCGUGCCAGCAGCCGCCGUAA
rnacentral:rRNA from 1 species